UAGGGUGAGAAGCUGACGGACAAUGGAGCAAACCUCUAGUGUGGCAGAGCUGGCCAAAAACAUUGAGGAUUUAGAAACGGAUGCCUCCAGGGUGGCAGAUCAUCAGGAGUAUGCCGAAGCCCUGUCAAUGUCCGGCCGUGCUAGGCCUAACGGUCGAUGGAGUCGAAAGUCCUGCUGCACUCGUCAAGUUCUAAGUGCAGGCGCCAUUUUCAUCGCCCUGCUACUUGUCAUCGGCGCCAUUUACAUGCACUUAAGACAGAAGACCCAUCUGGGCCGACUGCACAUCAAUCCGGAGAGGGUGGAUGCCUUGGAGGAGGACUUCCCCGUGGUCACCGCUGCCGGAGUGGCUGCCCAGACGAUAACAACAUUCCAGCCAGAUACUCUGGAGCUAAGCGGCAAAUGCCUGGCCUGUAUUGCCGCCACUGCCACGGAUAAUACUUCGGCAACGUGCAGGAACCGAGGUCGGAGUGAAGAGCCGUGCGGCAUUUAUCGCAUCUCCCACAUCUACUGGCAGGACACACAGGGGGUAUACCAGCCGGACAACUCACUUGCGCAGGGUAAUGUAUACACUAAAGGAAAUACCCUAAACAUUUUUCUUACAAAAGAUUAUUAAUUAUUACUUUCUUGUCUAAGUAAUUCGCAUUUCAUUAUUUAUUAAAGCUAGCAAUAGAAAGCCUUGAAAGCUAUUACCAAAUAUUUGCAAAAACAGGAAUAGACAAGGCCAUUAGCAAAACUUUAGCAACGAUAAUUGAAUUAUUGACAAUUUGGAGACAAAAUAACAAAAAGCUGUUUAUUUAGUUUACCCAGAACAUUGUUUAAUCUAAUUGAAAGCAUACAUCAGAGUUUAAAAUGUGAUUUCCUAUUUCAGCUUAAAUAUCUUUAAGCUUUUUAUAGUGUAAACUAACUUUAAACAGCUUGGCGGAGCUACCACACUAAAUACUAAAUAAAAGAUAUUCAAGUAAAUAUGUAAAGGUUUUUCAAAAAUAAAGAAACGGGCACUUUUUACGCAAAUAACGGGAAAGAAAGGACGCGAAAAAUCGACGUGCUUUCUCAAAGAGAAAUAAAUUUACAUAAGUGCCAAUCUAGUUUUUGAUGUUCUUCAUUUAAGGAUUUCACUUUUUCCCAAUUACGAACGGUGCGUAGUGGAUG